rnacentral:lncRNA from 1 species
GAAAAAAAAGCUAAUUAUUGUAAUUAUAACAUUAUUUUAAGACCCCUUUAUAUACAUUUCUCAUUUGAUCCUCUUAACUUUAAUCUCCAUUUGAAAAAUAAUAGAAAUUAUUAUCCCAUCUUACACAUGAUAAAACUAAAGUUGAAAAUUAUAUGAAGUUAUAAUAAAAAUGAAUUAUGAAUGGUAUGCUAAUAUGGCAGUGCCAAAUUUAAAAAACAAGCAUAAAAGCAACUGGAGGUAAUAACUGAUACAGCACAUAAUCUGCAAUCUAAAAUAAAUGCAACUUAAUUUAAGAAGAUAAUGCAUCCUGGUAUAGCCAAAUGAGUAUUUAGAUCCAAAGAAAUCCCUAGAACAGAGUUCAUACUGGGGAUGUACAUCAGAAUCACCUAGGUAGUUUUUUCAAAACAUACAUGUCCUUACCCCACUUGAGAUGUUUAGAAGAUAAAGAAAUCUUCAUAGUUUUUAAAGCCCAGAUACACGUUGCUGAAAAAGCCUUCCAAGAAAUUCUAACACACUCCUGAUUAAGAAUAAUUGUCUUAAAACAUGAAGUGGAAGCAACAAUGCACAUAUUGAGAGAAGUAAUCUAAAAAUUCAGGUACAAAUAUGGACUGGGACGUGAGUAAAUUAGGCAAAGCAAUUCUGGCUACUUGUAACUUGAACUUGUGUUUAUCUCCCACUUAAAAAAGAACCUUAUUCAAAUGCAAGCAAGAAAAAAUGACAAUAUAGAGAUAACCUUCAAAUGCUUUCAUUUAUUUAAAAAGUAAAUAAUUUACAACACAAAUAUUUUAACUCUUGCAACACAUCACACAAAUGAUUGUCACACCAGUGUGUCAACACCACAGUUGAGAAUAGCUGACUAGACUGCAUGUCUCUCAUAAAGGUCCUCGGUGACAGACUUUGCCUGAGACCUAAAGGAGCCAAUGGAGCUAACAAUAUAUAUUUUUCCAAAUAUCACCUCUACUCAAUUUGGAGAAAAAGAAAAUAAGAUCUAUUAUUUUUUUCCUCAAACUAGGUCUCUCAUCAGCCAAAGGCUAUGCCAAUAUAUCAGGCUGACUUUAUUACUCCAAUACAUCAGGCUGACUUUCAACUGGGCCUUAAGAAUCAAAGAAAGGAAAUUUUCAGAUGAGUAUUCAACUGAUUUAUGCACUACAAGGUAAAAACUGUAAAAGAUUCUGGCAAUAGGGAUUCUGUUACCAAGGGGGAAAAAAGGUAAGUCUUGAAAAAACUCUUGCACGUGCCAGGGUAAAAUAAAUAAAUUUUAAAAGCUGUCCUAGAUUAUACAGGUAUUAAAGUUAAAAACAAAUGGCAAGACCAAAUCACCUCUGUUUUAAAAAUAAAAACAGAGGAGGCCCAGAUAAAUAUGAAUUUCAGAAAAACAAUUUUAUCCCAUGCAAUAUUUGGGUCAUGUGCCUACAAACAAAAUCAUUUUCAGAGAACCCAUAUGAGAGAAAGUUGGAACAAAAUGAAAUUCUGAGUCCCUUAAAUUGUAUUUGAGAAAGAUACUAUGCAUAACCUAGAUGUUCCUAAUUAUGAUUCAUUGUCUGGCUCCUCCCUAGUCAUUACAUUAACUCAUUCCCUUUAUCUGUGCCUAUCAUACGUCACCUUAAUUAUUUAACUCCAUUGUUAUUUCUAUUUUUUCAUGUGUUGCAUUUCUGAAACAUUCAUGCUCAUGUGUGGCAUUUUACUUAAAAAAAGAAGUCAUUUACUGUAGCUAUCCAUUCCUAACUUCCAGCUCUGUUAUUAAAGAUUAAGUUGCCUCACACUUACUUCCAUUUCUCCCCUUUAAUCGAGAAAAACAACAAUUCUCUUGAAAUUCACACUACAAAUAGUUGGUAAGAAGUGAGGUUUACAAAAACAAUUCAUUUCUGUACUUCCUUCCUAUUGUGUGACACAGAAGAACCAUACUAAGAAAAAUGUGAAGAAAAAUAAAUUAUCUAAAUUUUAAAACAUUUUACCAAAGACAGCACUAAUUAUUAGUUAACAGAGCUAUAUGCCACACAAAGACAUUUUGCUCUUUUUACUGGAACAAUGAGAAGGUUUAAAUUCAGACAUAAAAUAUCUAAUUUUACUUAUAUUAAAUAGAAUAAAUAUACAAAAGCAACAACUGCCUACUAUGCAUACCUUAGAUGGGUUUGGGAACAUUUUUCUUCACUAUAUCUAUUAUUAAUUAUGUCAAAAGACUGUGAUCAAGGUGUAAUUUUUUUAAAAAGCAACGAAAGGCAGCUUAAUACAAGCUGUGAAAUCCUAAUUAAUCUGCUAACUUAUCUAAACAAAAUUUAGAAUCAUAUUAUAUACAUGAUUUUAAACUACAUUCUAACUUACAUAAUUUUGCUUAUAAGAUUAUGAUUUAUGUUACUUUUACAUUAUAGCUAUCACAUAUUCAACUACAUAUACCUAUUUACAUAUGACAUCUGGUAAGAAAUGAAGAAAUGCUCUUAAAUACUUCGUAAUGAAUAAAAGUUACUUUCUGAGGUUUUAAUACUACCUUACUACAAACAGAAUCUAAACUAGACAAUGAAAAACUAAGCAAUUUCUUUUUUUUUUUUUUUUUGGUCACUCUUCCGGUUAAAUUACUGUUUCAAAACAGAAUAGGAAUUUAGAAUUUUAUUAGUGAAUCUUUUUCUUUCUCUAAGGUCUUUAUAACAGAUUAAGGAAAAGUACACAGAUUCCUGUAAACAUUUUUUUUUUUUUAUUCCAGGCCUGGCAGUUUUCUAACAACUGAAUUACAAUUUAAAUAACUUGUUACAUUUUAAAUAGUCCCAUUUUAAUGCAACUCUUAGAAAAGACCAAAAAAAAAAAAAAAAAAGUUAAUCACCCUUCAACUUCUAAACCUUUAAAACUUUCCAUUUCUUUAAACAUUUCCUCCUUACUUUUAGGGAAUCCUUCCUCCUCACAACAGCACAAAAUACAGUGUCAAUGAACAAAUUUAAAUUGUAUCAAAUUUUAAAAUCCUGUGGGUCUUACAAUACUCUAUAUAGAAAUGGUUGUUUCCUCUCUCAACUGAAAAAAUUAGAAGUAUUAAAUUCAUGCAAUAUAUCAAUAAAGUUUGAUUAAAUCGCCAAGAGCCUGAACUUACUUAUAAUGCUAGGCAUUCUCCAUUACUUCCAAACAAAAUCUUUCUGAUAACCAAUACAUUAACAAAAUAUUUGAAGUCAUCUUAGCACUUCUAAUCUACACAUGCUUUGAAUUCAUAAAUUUACACGAUUAUCUGAAAGUCUGGUGUCACUUAAGUGGGAAAAGGGAAAGUUGAAAUAUUUUAAACUACACUUAGUAUUCUCACAACCACAAACAAACUGAAAUCAAAUGUCAUGUGAAACACCCCAAUUUCCUUUUCUGCCUACAGCAAUAGCUAUGGCAUUGUUCUGCUCAACCUUUUAAAAAGGUUCUUUAAGCUUCCUACUUCCUCAUCUCUACUAGACAUCAGCCUACUUCUGAGGGUCACUGGACCAGGCAGUUUGGGGAUAAGAGUCAAGUUCAUAAACGGGGCCCCCUCUUCAUUCUCUUAGUACAGCAUUUAACAUGCAUUUAGCCCUCCCUGCCUUUGCUCACGCUGCUUCCUCUGUCUGGAAAGUGUCCCCCACUCACCUUGCCAAAAUCCUGGUAAAAGACCAACUCGACCCCAGGCUACUUGAUUUAUCCCCCCGCCCCGGCUCUCCCGUCCCCCUCAACCUUAAGCUCCAGGCAGCCCCAACCACAUCUGUGUAUAUAGGAGACUUUCUUGCUCUGCAAUGUUUCUUACAAACUUAUUCCCCCCCAAAGGGAGAGAUCGAGCAUUUAUUAAGGGAAAAUAUAUAGUCACAUAAGUGAUAAAGUUGUAUUCAUUCCUACUCAUUAUUUUAAAGCUCGGAUAUUCUAAAACUCCUCUUUCCCCUUAUUUCCAGCGAGGAGGAAGGGGGAUUCAACGUCUCUAUUCGUCAGAUUAGGAACCUUGAGCUUUAUCUCACAGUAAAAACUACAUUUUUUUUUUUUUUAAAUAGAGACAGGGUCUCCCUCUGUCGCCCAGGCUGGAGUGCAGGGGCGCGAUCUCGGCUCACUGCAACCUCCACCUCCCAGGUUCAAGCGAUUCUCCUGCCUCAGCUUCCCGAGUAGCUGGGAUUACAGGCGCGCGCCACCACGCCCCGCUGAUUUUUGUAUUUUUAGUAGAGACGGGGUUUCACCAUGUUUGCCAGGCUGGUCUCAAACUCCUGACCUCUGGUUAUCCACCCGCCUCGGCCUCCCAAAGUGCUGGGAAUACAGGCAUGAGCCACCGCGCCCGGCCUACACUUGGUCGAAGCAACAUUAACACUUAAAAUACCACGGAUUUUCUAAUUCGUGUUAAAAUACCACGGAUGAUUUUUAAAGCCGUGACACAUUUUGUACAACUGUCAGUACAAGGGGGAUCACCUCUUUGCAUUUGAUGAAAUUAAACUAAAAAGGGGGAGAGAGCUUGCCCGAGGUCUGAAGGUUCCUCAUUCCUGUUCUAAAACAUAAAACCACCAUCUUCAAUACAUAUACAUUUUUAAUGAGAACUCUUCGUCCUCCUUUGGUUCGCUUAUGACUUCCCUAAUCCUAAAAUCAAGUCGUUGGGAAUUUCUAAGGUUCCUGCUAUGACAACAGGAUCGAAUUACAGAGCGUGGCUUGGAUUCUGCACGCAAACCCUGAAGCAGGUAACUUUUUUAAAAGCUGACAAUUUUACCAUAUGAGAUUUUAAAGACAGAACGCGCCCCAGCAAAAACUGAGCUCCCUAAACUCACUGCGGCAGGACCCCCUUCAGAAGAGCUCCUUUCCCCCGGCCCAGGCCCGCGCCCCAUGAACACUCACCGGAGGCCAUGGCUCCGCUCCCCGCACCUUCCCGCAGGCAGCUCCCAGCGUCCUGGCCGGAGGCGGCCGCAGUCAGUCAGUCAGGAGGCCUCCUCCUUCUUCCCGCCCUCCGCUGGGUUU